rnacentral:rRNA from 1 species
UGCGUAGGCGGUCGCGCAAGUCUGAUGUGAAAUCUUCGCCGCUCAACGGGAAGAGGUCAUUGGAAACUGCGUGACUUGAGUGUGGUAGAGGCAGACGGAAUUCCUGGUGUAGCGGUGGAAUGUGUAGAUAUCAGGAAGAACACCGGUGGCGAAGGCGGUCUGCUGGGCCAUCACUGACGCUGAGGCACGAAAGCGUGGGGAGCAAACG